rnacentral:rRNA from 1 species
GAUGAACGCUAGCGAUAGGCUUAACACAUGCAAGUCGAGGGCAGCACAAGGUAGCUUGCUAUCUGGGUGGCGACCGGCGCACGGGUGCGUAACGCGUAUGCAACUUGCCCUAUACAGGAGGAUAACCCGUCGAAAGACGGACUAAUACUGCGUAUGCUCACAACUUGGCAUCAAGUGGUGAGGAAAGAAAUUCGGUAUAGGAUAGGCAUGCGUCCCAUUAGCUUGUUGGUGAGGUAACGGCUCACCAAGGCAACGAUGGGUAGGGGAACUGAGAGGUUUAUCCCCCACACUGGUACUGAGACACGGACCAGACUCCUACGGGAGGCAGCAGUGAGGAAUAUUGGUCAAUGGGCGCGAGCCUGAACCAGCCAAGUCGCGUGAAGGAUGACUGUCUUAUGGAUUGUAAACUUCUUUUAUACGGGAAUAACAAGAGUCACGUGUGACUCCCUGCAUGUACCGUAUGAAUAAGCAUCGGCUAACUCCGUG